rnacentral:rRNA from 1 species
AUUGAACGCUGGCGGCAGGCCUAACACAUGCAAGUCGAACGAGUGGCGGACGGGUGAGUAAUGUCUGGGAAACUGCCCGAUGGAGGGGGCUAACUACUGGAAACGGUAGCUAUUACCGCAUACCAUCGGAUGUGCCCAGAUGGGAUUAGCUAGUAGGUGGGGUAACGGCUCACCUAGGCGACGAUCCCUAGCUGGUCUGAGAGGAUGACCAGCCAGACUGGAACGUAGAAACGAACCAGAAUCCUUCAGGAGGCAGCAGUGGGUAGUAUUGGGCAAUGGGCGCAAGCCUGAGGCAGCCAUGCCGCGUGUAUGAAGAAGGCCUUCGGGUUGUAAGGUACUUUAAGCGAGGAAGCGUUACUCGCAGAAGAAGCACCGGCUAACGCCGAGCCAGCAGCCGCGGUAAUUC